rnacentral:rRNA from 1 species
GAUGAACGCUGGCGGCGUGCCUAACACAUGCAAGUCGAGCGAACCCUUCGGGGUGAGCGGCGGACGGGUGAGUAACGCGUGGGUAACCUGCCCUAUGGAAAGGAAUAGCCUCGGGAAACUGGGAGUAAUGCCUUAUAAUAUAUGUUUGUCGCAUGGCAGACAUAUUAAACGCUCCGGUGCCAUAGGAUGGACCCGCGUCCCAUUAGCUAGUUGGUGAGAUAACAGCCCACCAAGGCGACGAUGGGUAACCGGUCUGAGAGGGCGAACGGUCACACUGGAACUGAGACACGGUCCAGACUCCUACGGGA